GGGAUAACAUUCGGAAACGGGUGCUAAUACCGCAUAAUAUCUUCUUCCGCAUGGAAGAAGAUUGAAAGACGGCUCUGCUGUCACUUAUAGAUGACCUUGCGGUGCAUUAGUUAGUUGGUGGGGUAACGGCCUACCAAGACGAUGAUGCAUAGCCGACCUGAGAGGGUGAUCGGCCACAUUGGGACUGAGACACGGCCCAA
rnacentral:rRNA from 1 species